rnacentral:rRNA from 1 species
UACGUAGGGUGCAAGCGUUAUCCGGAAUUAUUGGGCGUAAAGAGCUCGUAGGCGGUUUGUCGCGUCUGCUGUGAAAACUGGAGGCUCAACCUCCAGCCUGCAGUGGGUACGGGCAAACUAGAGUGCGGUAGGGGAGAUUGGAAUUCCUGGUGUAGCGGUGGAAUGCGCAGAUAUCAGGAGGAACACCGAUGGCGGAGGCAGAUCUCUGGGCCGUAACUGACGCUGAGGAGCGAAAGCAUGGGGAGCGAACAGG